GACGAACCGUGCGAACGUUAUUCGGAAUCACUGGGCUUAAAGCGCGUGUAGGCGGCCCGGCACGUCAUCGGCUGAAAUCCCCCGGCUCAACCGGGGAAGGGGCCGUGAUACGACCGGGCUGGAGGGGGGUAGGGGGGACGGGAACUCACGGUGGAGCGGUGAAAUGCGUUGAGAUCGUGAGGAACGCCCGUGGCGAAAGCGCGUCCCUGGACCCCACCUGACGCUGAGACGCGAAAGCCAGGGGAGCGAACGGG
rnacentral:rRNA from 1 species